GCCAGAGCCAUAUCUCCCUACAGCUUUCACCUGGUUUCUCACAGAAGCUAAGCAGGGUUGAGCCUGGCCAGUACCUGGAUGGGAGACCUCCUGAGAAAAACUAAGGUUGCUGCUGGAA
rnacentral:rRNA from 1 species